UACAGAGGUCUCAAGCGUUGUUCGGAUUCAUUGGGCGUAAAGGGUGCGUAGGCGGUAGGGUAAGUCUGGUGUGAAAUCCUGGAGCUUAACUUCAGAAAUGCACUGGAUACUGCCCUGCUAGAGGACUGGAGAGGAGACUGGAAUUUACGGUGUAGCGGUGAAAUGCGUAGAUAUCGUAAGGAAGACCAGUGGCGAAGGCGGGGUCUCUGGACAGUUCCUGACGCUGAGGCACGAAGGCCAGGGGAGCAAACGGG
rnacentral:rRNA from 1 species